rnacentral:rRNA from 1 species
GACGAACGCUGGCGGCGUGCCUAAUACAUGCAAGUUGAGCGCUGAAGGCUGGUACUUGUACCAACUGGAUGAGCAGCGAACGGGUGAGUAACGCGUGGGGAAUCUGCCUUUGAGCGGGGGACAACAUUUGGAAACGAAUGCUAAUACCGCAUAAAAACUUUAAACACAAGUUUUAAGUUUGAAAGAUGCAAUUGCAUCACUCAAAGAUGAUCCCGCGUUGUAUUAGCUAGUUGGUGAGGUAAAGGCUCACCAAGGCGAUGAUACAUAGCCGACCUGAGAGGGUGAUCGGCCACAUUGGGACUGGGACACGGCCCAAACUCCUACGGGAGGCAGCAGUAGGGAAUCUUCGGCAAUGGACGAAAGUCUGACCGAGCAACGCCGCGUGAGUGAAGAAGGUUUUCGGAUCGUAAAACUCUGUUGGUAGAGAAGAACGUUGGUGAGAGUGGAAAGCUCAUCAAGUGACGGUAACUACCCAGAAAGGGACGGCUAACUACGUG